rnacentral:rRNA from 1 species
UAACGGCGAGUGAAGCGGCAACAGCUCAAAUUUGAAAUCUGGCCCCUAGGGUCCGAGUUGUAAUUUGCAGAGGAUGCUUUUGACAAGGUGCCUUCCGAGUUCCCUGGAACGGGACGCCAUAGAGGGUGAGAGCCCCGUCUGGUCGGAUACCGCGUCUCUGUAAAGCUCCUUCGACGAGUCGAGUAGUUUGGGAAUGCUGCUCAAAAUGGGAGGUAUAUGUCUUCUAAAGCUAAAUAUUGGCCAGAGACCGAUAGCGCACAAGUAGAGUGAUCGAAAGAUGAAAAGCACUUUGAAAAGAGGGUUAAAAAGUACGUGAAAUUGUUGAAAGGGAAGCGCCUAUGACCAGACUUGGGCCCGGUGAAUCAUCCAGCGUUCUCGCUGGUGCACUUUGCCGGGCACAGGCCAGCAUCAGUUUGGCUUGGGGGAAAAAGGCUUUGGGAAUGUAGCUCCUCGGAGUGUUAUAGACCAUUGCAUAAUACCCUGGGCCGGACUGAGGUUCGCGCAUCUGCAACGAUGCUGGCGUAAUGGUCAUCAGCGACACGUCUUGAAACACGGACCAAGGAGUCGUCUUCGUAUGCGAGUGUUCGGGUGUAA